UAGGGAAUCUUCCGCAAUGGACGAAAGUCUGACGGAGCAACGCCGCGUGAGUGAAGAAGGAUUUCGGUUCGUAAAACUCUGUUGUUAGGGAAGAAAAAAUGUAUAGUAACUAUAUACAAAAGAGACGGUACCUAACCAGAAAGCCACGGCUAACUGCGUGCCAGCAGCCGCGGUAAUACGUAGGUGGCAAGCGUUGUCCGGAAUUAUUGGGCGUAAAGCGCGCGCAGGUGGUUUAGAAAGUCUGAUGUGAAAGCCCACGGCUCAACCGUGGAGGGUCAUUGGAAACUAAUAAACUUGAGUGCAGGAGAGAAAAGUGGAAUUCCUAGUGUAGCGGUGAAAUGCGUAGAGAUUAGGAGGAACACCGGUGGCGAAAGCGGCUUUUUGGCCUGCAACUGACACUGAGGCGCGAAAGCGUGGGGAGCAAACAGG
rnacentral:rRNA from 1 species